GAGAUAAGAUUCCAAACCUCGAUCGCGUUCGUUCCCCUUGUUGUUCGUCAUUCUCCAUGAUCUUUGUCGAUCUAGUCCCACAGCUCAAACCCUAAAUCCCCAAUUCUCCUCUCAUUGAAUCUGAAGAAAAAUUGAAGAAGCGUUUGGGUUGCUUAAGAUUCGCGAUUCGCGAUGCAUCGCAGUGUUUCGCCAGCCGCGACGCCGCCGCCGCUCUCCUCCUCCUCUCCUCCACCAUCCUCCGGCGACUUACCCGAGAUCCCGGACGCCUGGUACGGCAACAUCCAGUACCUCCUCAACAUCUCCAUGAUCGGCCUCCUAUGCUGCGUCUCCAUUUUCCUCUUCCUCAAGCUCCGCAGCGACCACCGCCGUAUGCCCGGCCCCUCCGCUCUCCUCUCCAAGCUCCUCGCCGUCUGGUCCGCCACCUGCCGCGAGAUCGCCCGCCACUGCGGCGCCGACGCCGCUCAGUUCCUCCUCAUCGAAGGCGGGAGCUUCGUGCUCCUCUUCUCCGUCGCCGUCCUCGCUCUCUCCGUCAUGCUCCCUCUGAACCUCUACGCGGGAACCGCCCUGCUCAGCGACGAGCUCUCGAAGACGAUGAUCACGCACAUCGAGAAAGGCUCCGCCCUUCUCUGGCUGCAUUUCGUGUUCGUUGUGGUCGUUGUGGUGAUGUCGCAUUUCGGGAUCUCGGCGAUUGAGGCGAGGUUGAAGUUCACUAGGUUUAGAGAUGGGAAUGGGAAUGUGAGUGACCCCAACGCGGAUUCCACGGCUGUGUUCACUGUGAUGGUGCAGGGAUUGCCUAAGAAUCUGGGAUCAGAUAGGGUUGAGUUUGAGGAGUGUUUUAGACAAAAGUACCCCGGGAAAGUUUAUAAGAUUAUCGUCCCUAUGGAUCUCUGUGCGUUGGAUGAUCUCGCUACGGAGCUUGUUCGCGUUAGGGAUGAGAUCACUUGGUUAGUUGCGAAGAUGGACUCUAGGCUGUUACCGGAUGAGUUUGAUAAUAGUGGAGAUGAAGGGGUACUGUCUUGUGUGCUUGCUUUGUGGGGUAAGGUGAAGGUUUUGUGGUCUCGGGUUGUCGAGAGGUUCGGUUUUACGGAUGAUGAGAAGCUGAGGAAGCUGCAAGAGCUGAGAGCUGAUUUGGAGUCUCAGUUAGCGUUUUAUAAAGAAGGAAGGGCGCAAGGCGCUGGAGUUGCGUUUGUGGUGUUUAAAGAUGUUUACACAGCUAAUAAGGCUGUUCAGGAUUUCAGAAACGAGAGGUCGAGGCGGACUGGGAAGUUCUUCUCUGUCACAGAGCUGAGGCUUCAGAGAAACCAGUGGAAAGUCGAGAGAGCGCCCUUGGCGACUGAUAUUUACUGGAAUCAUCUGGGGUUGACGAAGAUCGCACUUAUAGUAAGAAGAGUGAUUGUGAAUACUAUUCUACUGUUGAUUCUCGUGUUUUUCAGCUCCCCAUUGGCCUUGAUCAGUGCGUUGGUAAGUGCCGGGAGAAUCUUUAAUGCUGAAGCGUUGGAUAGUGCUCAGUCUUGGCUCACUUGGGUGCAAACUUCUGGCUGGAUCGGUUCUCUGAUUUUUCAGUUCAUGCCCAACGUGUUCAUAUUCGUUAGCAUGUACAUUAUCAUCCCUUCUGCGCUCUCGUAUCUUUCCAAGUUUGAGCGGCACCUAACUGUCUCGGGGGAACAAAGAGCAGCUCUGUUGAAGAUGGUUUGCUUCUUCCUAGUGAACCUCAUCGUGCUCAAGGCUCUCGUCGAGUCGUCGCUGGAAAGCGCCUUCUUGAAAAUGAGCCGCUGCUAUUUAGAUGGUGAGGAUUGCAAGAGGAUUGAAGAGUACGUGAGCCCUUCCUUCUUAUCAAGGUCAUGCGUCUCUGCUCUAGCGUUCCUCAUCACAAGCACGUUCUUGGGAAUCUCCUUCGAUCUGCUCGCUCCGAUCCCUUGGAUCAAGAAAAAGAUCCAGAAGUUCAGGAAGAACGACAUGCUUCAGCUAGUCCCCGAGCAAAACGAAGAGUACCCUUUGGAAAAUCAAGACCAGAGGAGCAACCUCGAGACGCCGCUUCUCCCUGAAAACAUGUUCGAGUCUCCAAGAUUCGGCGACGUCGAACCUAUGAGCCAAGACCUCGCUGAAUACCCUAUCAGCCGAACCUCGCCGAUCCCAAAGCAGAAGUUCGACUUUGCACAAUACUAUGCCUUCAACCUCACCAUCUUUGCCUUGACAAUGAUAUACUCUUCGUUCGCUCCACUGGUGGUCCCUGUAGGCGCGGUUUACUUUGGUUACAGAUACAUUGUUGACAAAUACAACUUCCUAUACGUGUACAGAGUCCGGGGCUUCCCUGCUGGCAACGAAGGAAAGCUAAUGGACACGGUUUUGUGCAUCAUGCGGUUCUGCAUCGACCUGUACAUCGUCUCCAUGCUGUUCUUCUUCUCUGUCAAAGGAGAUUCGACCAAGCUUCAGGCGAUUUUCACGCUUGGGUUGCUUGUGAUGUACAAGCUUUUGCCUUCGGAUACAGAACGGUUUCACCCGGCUCUUCUCAGGAGUAUUCAGACCGUCGAUAGCAUCGUCGACGGGCCAGUGGAUUACGAAGCUUAUUCUCAACCCAACUUUGACUGGGACACUUACAACAGAUGAUGUUUCUACGACCUUAUGACUUAUUAGUUUUGGUCUUUUGACCAUAUCGAGUUUUAGAGUCCAUUUCUCGAAGUUAAUGGCUCUCUUUGUCGGACGAAGCAGAAAUUAGCACUUGCCUCUACAUGGUGUCUUAAGUCUCUGCUCAGAUUUCUGACUUCGGGAUUCUUAUUGAAGAAGUUAUGCAACUAACAACCAAAGAUAAGAAUCCAGAGCGUGUUAAGGCAUGUGUCACAUUCAGGUCUCUCGUAAACACAGGCUAUGAUACGGAAGAGACAGCGACAACUCUUGCCCGAGCAAACAUAACAAGACAGUAGGGAGUUCCGGCAAUGGCAGUCGGAAAUAAGGACUCAUGACAGUUCCUCAGAGCCACACAAAACAAACCAAACCAAACCAUCUCCAAAGAGUAGCUCUUCAACGAAAGAUGUAAACAGUAGACCAAAGGUCUCUUCUCAAAUAUGUUUAAUAGAGUUGCAGUAAUCUUCUUCGAGUCCAUUCCAAAACCAAACUAUAGAGAACAGUUCAGUCUCUUCAGGCUAUAUUUGUUUUCCACUCAUAUUCACAUAUCAAGUUAACGUUUUGGUAACGUAUUACCUCUUUUUGAUGCAUGUAUAUGCUCAUUAGUCAACCUCGAUAACUGUAUAGAAAUUUAUUAUGGGCCG